rnacentral:tRNA from 1 species
GAGUGAUUAGCUCAGUUGGUAGAGCGUCCGCUUGACUUGCGGAAGGCCACAGGUUCGAGCCCUGUAUCACUCA